rnacentral:lncRNA from 10 species
CAGGCUGGAGCACAGUGGCUCAAUCAUGUCUCACUGCAGCCUCUGCCUCCUAAGCUCAAGCAAUAUACUCAGCUUCCUGAGUAGCUGGAGCCACAGGUGUGUACCACCUUGCCUGGUAAAUUGUUUCGUAGAGAUAGGGUCUUGCUCUAUUUUCCAGGUUGGUUUCCAACUCCUGGCCUCAAGUGAUCCUCCUGCCUCAGCCUCCAAAGUGGUAUGAUUGCAGACAUGAGCCACUGUGCCCAGCUGAGGUUAUUUUCUAUGUAAAUCUUGAUGUUCUGGAAUUGGCGUUCUGUUUUUCCUCUGUUAAUAUAUGUUUGGAGGUGGUGAUUAAAUCUACGAUUGCAUCCAUAAUGUGAAAAACUGAGGUAGAGCUGCAAGAGGAGAAGACUUUACUUGGAGAAAAAUACCUUCGUGGCAUCACCUCAGGACAGAAUAGCUGUCUGUGAUCUUGGAUUGUUGGGUAGAGGUAAAAGUAAUUAUGAUUUUAAUGUGGAUACUCUAAAUAUGUCAGGUAUGUACACAUGCCUUUAGAAUUGCAAAUGCCAUGGCAGGGGGAUGUACCAGAAAAAUUUGAUUGACUAUACUGCUUUGGCUCCUCCUAGAGAACCUGCUGGACUCACUGCUGCUGGUUGGAGCAGCUCAGUAGGAGACACAUCUCUCUCCUCGACCAUUCCCCGUGUGGCUACCUAAACCAUUUCCCUUGUGGCUACCAGGCACGGACUCUGAGCCGAGACCAGCUGAUGCCAUGGAUGACCGAUGCCAAGUCAGCAUCCCUGUUGAGAACUGCAGUGAAGGAAAGGAGAGAGCAUUGUUGAUGGCUUAUAAUAUUAAAGAAACAGCACUCAGAUGAACCAUCAUAUACAGAAGAUUGAGACAUUAAAUGCAGAAGGGAGAAGACACAAUGCAACAGCAUAUGUUUAACCCUGUGGAUUCAAAUGUAACUUUGGAAGAACAAAGUAGCUUCAGUUUUUUUCAGCCGAACCUGGCAAGUGAAAUUUACUUCUACUCAAGUCAUUCCUACAUAGCUUUAUUUUUUAGUUUUUUUUAUUUUUUAUUUAUUUAUUUUUUUAAGACAAGGUCUCUCUCUGUUACCCAGGCUGCAGUUCAGUGGUCUGAUCACAGCUCACUGCAGCCUCAACCUCCUGGGCCCAAGCAAUCCUUCUACCCCAGUCUCCUGAGGAGCUGAGACCACAGGUGUGUGCCACUACGUUCUUACCCUGUCUUCUGUGGUAGAAAUUAUGUCAUUGGUUUCUUCUGUUUAUCUACCUCACACUAGACUGUAAGCCUCCUGAGGAUGGGGGCUACAUAUUUCCCUUUAAAAAAAUCUUUAGAAGCAGUUAAAACAAUAUCGAUAGUGCCUAACACAUGUUGAGUGUUUACCAUGUGUGCCAGGCACAGAUGCAUAUGUUUUACUUGUUUAAUACUCACAAUAAACCUAGGAUGUGGGUCAUUUUAUAGAUGGAGAAAUGAUGUUUAUAGCUCGUCAGUGGUGGAGCUGAGAUUCAAUCUUACACAGUCAGUUUCUUAACCAGUGCCCUCCACUGCUUUCCCUGAUUCACAGUUAUGCUUCGUAAUUACUUGUUAAAUGAAAGAAUAAAUAUCUCUGACACUGGGAUAUGAUACCCAUUUUACCUUUGGAGAAACUGAGUCAAUAAUGAGCAGAACUAGAGCCUGUGUCUCUCAACUCUUACUGAGGCACCCUUGCCAUGAUAAAAUGCUGAUUUAUGAAUUAAAAAUACAGGCAACUAUUUUUAAUUUGAAGUUCCAGGUAAGAUUUGGGGCUUAUCAGUAUAACUUAUGUUUUCCCAAAAGACUAUCUUCUACAUUAAAAUAUUUUAAAGGACUGCUUCUUUAAUGCAUAAAAAAUAAAAAUAAUGAGAAAACCACCUAAAAUGCAAAAAACUUCUAAGCAUUUCCCCAGAGAAUGCAGAAAAGAAUUAAUGAGGGUGAAGGAUAAUCACUUCUACAUAAAUAUAGCAGGUGGAAUUACUUAUGUUGCUAUAUAUCAUGUUAAUAACUUGAAAACAAG